UAUUUCUCUUCCCCAUAUUCAAUUCCCCUAAACAACCCCCGUCUCCACACUACUCUCCCCUCCCCCGUUUGAAUCAGGGCCGCCCCUCUUUCCUCCGCCGUGAAUCCCUCCUCUUCGUUUGUCUAUUCUUUCUGCAGCUCCACACCAGCCUCUCCCCUCUCCCGCGGCGAUUACUCCGGCCCCAACUUGGCACCGUGGCCCCUCCUUCCUGUUUCCGCGUAGCAAUUUCUCCAUCUCUUCCGCCGCGAUUUGCGUCAUCGCCGCUGCCGCAAUCGCCAGAGAUCUGCUCCGAUCUGCCACCGUGGCCUCUUCUUCCUGUCUCUGCGUAGCAAUUUCUCCCUCUCUUCCGUCGCGAUUCGUGUCACCGCCGCUGCCGCAAUCACCAGAGAUAUGCUUCGAUCUGCCUCCCACUCCACCAAUUUCUUCAUUCUGCCUCCCGCUGCGAUUCGCUUCGCCGCGCCGGCCACCGCCCAGAUCGACACAGUCUGCCGCCUCGCCAUGGUAAGUAUUCAAUUAGGAAAUGCAUUGAUGUCCUGCAACCUUAGUUUCGUCUAUUGCCUGCAAGAUAGUAUUGAGUUUGUUAUAACCUUAGUUUCUUCUACUAUCUGCAAGAUAGUAAUGAGUCUGUUAUGUUCUAUUGGAUCUAUCAAUUGCCACAGUUUUCUAGAUAUAGUUAAAGAUGGUGCCUUUUGGAUCCUCAAAACUCUUCUGGUAAUUGAAAAAGUAAGAACACAAACACAAGGAAGAUUUAGGGCCACUUCAUGAAGUUGUUAAUUAAGCUGUAGUAGCAUGUAAGAACUAAGAAGCCCACACAAAGAUGCAGACUCCACUCUUUUACCAAAUUCCACCUACUUUGGUAUGCUUAAUCUGUAGUAACCCUUUCAUAUUCGUUAUUAGACGAUACUUCUUUCUUGGUUUGCUUAAUGUUGCAAUCUUAUGUCGGACAGGUUAUUCGAGCUAGAAUACAGAUAAAGUAACUUUCCAUUUGUAUUUUUCAUGACUUCUUCAAACUGCUUAUAAGAGGGGAAGAACACAACUAGGCUAUAUCUUAAAUUUUCAUUUGUUGUGCAACUGAAACCAAUGUUCUUUCUCUUACAUUUGAAUCAAUUGGAUUAAUGAUCUUCUGAAAAUAAAUUUACAGUAGGUAUUGAGGGCUAGCGUCUAUCAAGUUCUUUAAGAAUGCCAGCGGGCACUAGAAAAAUCCCCUGCUUUUAAGGUAAAAUCUUCUUCCCCCUGUCUGAGCUACAAGUAUUUGAUUUGGAAACCACGUCGUGUAGGUUAUGUUAUCUUGCUCGAGGAAGAAACGGAGAGUGCUCGGUUGUUCCCCUUGGCUAUUGCAAUACGAAGAGUUAGUUGGGAUAAGCUAAAGGUGCUGUCAGUUAAAUUCAUCUGUUAUUUUUAGCUUUUUUCUGGUUUGUCUUUCUUUUGGGGUUAUGAGAAUGAUCAUUAAUAGCUGCUGAUGAAAUUAGGCCUUUGUGUUUUAAGUUUAAAGUUGUUUGAAUUAAAGAUGAUGUUAUAUCACAAUUGUAAAACUCCAUGUUGCAUGUAUUGAGCAAAUUAAUCUGGUUUUGAAAGGUUUCCUAAGAAACAGAAGUUGAUUCAUGAUCUGAUUAAUUUGGUUAUUAGCUAACUCUGUUAAAUUUAUAUUGCAGGCGAUGAGCUUCUCUCUAACUCAUUCCCAUAUAAGGAAGUCGAGAAUGGGAUGUUGUGAGAAGUAGAAGGAAAUUGGGUCGUUCAAGAGCAACCUCCUUUCGACAAAAAACAGUUCAUAGCAUACGUAAAGAAAUAUAUCAAGAACUUGAUCCCCAAGGUUCCUGAAGCCGAGAAACAAGAGCAGUUCAAGAAGGGUAUUGAAGGAGUUACAACCUUGGAAGUGAAGAAGGUUGCAACAGGAGAUACAGAGGAACAACCGAACUUAUUUGAGGCAACGAGUGCCGUUCUUUCUGCAGAACCAACCACCAGAUCAUAUUUGUAUAUAAAAUUGAGAUCUCGUAGGAUCAUUAGUGUAGUAGGUUUCUCCUUCGAAUUGGAUUUGUAUGUGUCUUGUCAGAUUACUAUGUGCCAUUAAUAAAUAUUUGUUAGUAUUCA